rnacentral:lncRNA from 1 species
CUCAAUUACUAUUUUUGUCUGUUGGGAAGUUCCUGAUGCAAUGUUCGUCAGUGCCCACGCUGCUUCAAACUGUAGUGUGCAAUUUUCACUUCUCUUCAGGAACUCAACAAAUCUGUCCACCACUCCUUGUGUGUUUAUCACUUCGUCUAUUGGAGGAUUUGGCUCUUUAGAAAGUAACUUCCUGAAUUUCUGUGUGGUUGCUAGCUGUAGAUCAGGGUCAUCUGAGAAAAGCAUCUCUACCAUCUCUCUUGUGAU